rnacentral:sRNA from 1 species
GCUUUCAACAUCCCCGUCCAUCAUUGGACUGAAGGC